UACAGAGGGGGCGAGCGUUGUUCGGAAUUACUGGGCGUAAAGGGCGCGUAGGCGGCCUUCUAAGUCGAACGUGAAAUCCCCGGGCUCAACCCGGGAACUGCGUCCGAUACUGGAAGGCUUGAAUCCGGGAGAGGGAUGCGGAAUUCCAAGUGUAGCGGUGAAAUGCGUAGAUAUCUGGAGGAACACCGGUGGCGAAGGCGGCAUCCUGGACCGGUAUUGACGCUGAGGCGCGAAAGCCAGGGGAGCAAACGGG
rnacentral:rRNA from 1 species